rnacentral:ncRNA from 1 species
AUGAUGUUGAUGACGGAAGAACACCGUGUCGGGAUAAUCUACGGCGUCCGGUCUUCAAGAGACAUCAUCUUACUGUGAAUUAGUCCUAGAGAAAUCUAAAUAACCUCGAGAGGCGGGGUCGGAUGAGACAGUAAUGAAACUCCUAGACGUGGGCGAGCCUAACCAAAGGAGUCAGUCGAAAACUCGUUGUUGAAGUAGCGUAAACUCCCUGAUACAAACUCCCUGAUUCAAAGUAAUGUAUCAAAGUAAUACGAGAGGUGGCGAGUAUAAAUAAAUUUCCUGUUAUGCAGUGGAUUGUAACCGAAAUGAUACGAGUAGGCCACAUGGGAAGAUGAAACAUCUCUGGUCUUGUAGAGAUAGCAUAUUGAGCUACAAGAUGACACCGAAAGGUGU